CGUGAAGGCCUCACAAUUCUCCUUGAUCAAGCUUCAAUAAACCUUCUUUUGUAAGACAUCAUCAGCUCCGGACCUCUUCCUUCCAAAGAUAACUUGUAUAUCAAUUAUUCCAUCACAAUUUGGCGUCACGAACAGGAUUUCAACAUAACAACAGAAGUGGUCAAUUGAGACUACCACAGUACCACCAACAGGGGUGGUUGAGUUUCCGGGUUAGCUUCGGGCUAGACCCGACCAGGGGGGACUCCCAUGAGCUCUGGUCCAAGAGGGAAAGACGUUUCCGGGGAGUUUGAAAUAGAACUGCCUCGGCCAGAUCAAGAUUGACGACUAUCCCAACUCUGUAUCCAGAGGGAAACUAGAGGUUCUGGGGGAGACCCCAGGGGCCGAGGGAUAUCCGUUUUAUUGUUUGUGUACACGAGGCGUCGGGCUUUCGGGGCUCCGUCUUGAAAAAAAAAUUGAAGCCUCACCCUGCUGGAAGGGGAAGGAAAAAAGAAAAAAGAGGAGAAGC